rnacentral:rRNA from 1 species
UGCCCCGGUUAACGGGGAGGAAGGUGGGGAUGACGUCAAGUCCUCAUGGCCCUUAUGCCCAGGGCUACACACGUGCUACAAUGGGCGGUACAAAGGGUAGCGAUGCCGCGAGGCGAAAGCCAAAUCCCAAAAAGCCGUCCUCAGUUCGGAUUGGAGUCUGCAACUCGACUCCAUGAAGCCGGAAUCGCUAGUAAUCGCGGAUCAGCAUGCCGCGGUGAAUACGUUCCCGGGCCUU